rnacentral:rRNA from 1 species
UACGUAGGCAGCAAGCGUUGUUCGGAGUUACUGGGCGUAAAGGGUGCGUAGGCGGCUUUUUAAGUUUGGUGUGAAAUCUCCCGGCUCAACUGGGAGGGUGCGCCGAAUACUGAGAGGCUAGAGUGUGGGAGAGGAAAGUGGAAUUCCUGGUGUAGUGGUGAAAUACGUAGAUAUCAGGAGGAAUACCGGUGGCGAAGGCGGCCAUCUGGCCAAA